rnacentral:rRNA from 1 species
UACAGAGACUGCAAGCGUUAUCCGGAUUCACUGGGUUUAAAGGGUGCGUAGGUGGGUUGGUAAGUCAGUGGUGAAAUCUCCGGGCUUAACUCGGAAACUGCCGUUGAUACUAUCAAUCUUGAAUAUUGUGGAGGUAAGCGGAAUAUGUCAUGUAGCGGUGAAAUGCUUAGAUAUGACAUAGAACACCGAUAGCGAAGGCAGCUUGCUACACAAUUAUUGACACUGAGGCACGAAAGCGUGGGGAUCAAACAGG